AUUGAACGCUGGCGGCAUGCUUUACACAUGCAAGUCGAACGGUAACGCGGGGGCAACCCUGGCGACGAGUGGCGAACGGGUGAGUAAUACAUCGGAACAUGUCCUGGAGUGGGGGAUAGCUCGGCGAAAGCCGGAUUAAUACCGCAUACGCUCUGAGGAGGAAAGCGGGGGACCUGGUAACGGGCCUCGCGCUGCGGGAGUGGCCGAUGUCGGAUUAGCUAGUUGGUGAGGUAAAGGCUCACCAAGGCGACGAUCCGUAGCUGGUCUGAG
rnacentral:rRNA from 1 species